UUACGUUUUAAAAUUUCAAAUGAUAUGUUGCAUUGUACGUUGUACGCUCUGCUAGGUAGAUAACUUAUGGAUGUGGCGUUAAUUUCGUGCGCGUAAGUGGCGCUAAUUUUGUAAGAGCUAGUAACAUAUAAUUAGGGCGGCAGUCAGCGCGUGUCCUGCGAAGCGCCUAAUGGCCGGCAUCGCCGCAGGCGCAACGUGCCUCACAGUUUAAAUUGAACGUCAAGCUAUCGAUUUGCAUAAAUCACACCGUUACCAUUUUCAAUUAUUUGACUGGUUAUAUUGAACUAAAAUGAUCAAAAUAAAACGUGUCGCAGUGCAUCAAAUCUUUGUGCAACAUUACAAAUGGUCUGUUAAUUUUAUUCCCUUGCACUAAUCAAGAUGUUGUGCUA